rnacentral:lncRNA from 1 species
UUAAAAUAAAAACAAAAAAAUGGACCGGAAAAACGCUCUUCUUCUCGCGCUUAUAUGCGUCAUUGUAGCCGCCGUCGGUGGUCAAUCUCCCGCCGCUUCCCCGACGCUAGCUCCGCCGUCAUCUGUGAUCACUACUCCUGCGGCUUCACCUUCCAAGCCUAUUACUCCUGCUCCUGCCACAACACCAGUUGCCGCUCCGGUUGCAGCUCCACCGACGGUCGCUAUUCCUCCACCGGUGAGCUCUCCACCUGCUGCAGUGCCAGUUAGUGCUCCGCCUCCAGUGGUUGAAUCUCCACCUCCAGUAGUUGAAUCUCCUCCAGUUCCGGAACCAACGGCUGCUCCAGUUGAGGCUCCGGUUGCCGAAGUUCCUGCUCCUGCACCUACCAAGAAGAAGACCAAAAAGCAUACUGCAUCGUCUCCGGCGCCUUCACCGGAUAUGAUGGGACCACCUGCUCCUCCUAGUGAAGCUCCUGGACCUAGCGACGCUCUGUCCCCCGGUC